UUUGAUUUGAGCUCAUCAAAGCUUCAAAACUGAAUUUUCAACAAGAAUUUCUAAUAUCAAGAGAACAACAAGGAAAUAGAGUCUUUAAAAGGGCAUUUAUUUCUUUAUAAAGAAUCAAAGUGAAAGGAAGAGAGAGAGAGAGUACGUGGGUUUAUCACCAAUUAUUUUUCACCCAAAGUCUUUGUGGGGUUCGCAAACCUGAACAAGACACCAAAUGAAGCUAGUCAAAAACCAAUACAAAGCCAAGAAACACACACACACACACCGAGAGAGAGAAGAGGAGGGAUCUGAAGUGCACGAGAUGGUAAAGUCGAGCAGGGAAGGAGGAGGGAGGUUUGGGGGCCUUUAGAACCCUGUUGUUUAUAAAGAACUCCCGACAUGUCGUCCUAUAAGAACCACUUGUUACCUAUGUGAUGCUCAAACGACAGUGGUAGAUGAAUGACGCUGUGGUGCCUGUGGGUUAGUAAAGAUGGUAGGAUGGAGCAUUUUAUUUAUU
rnacentral:lncRNA from 1 species